CCGACGGGUGAGUAACACGUAUGCAAUCCACCUGUAACAGGGGGAGUAACCCGGAGAAAUCCGACUAAUACCCAUAAUAUGGGCGCUCCGCAUGGAGAGUUCAUUAAAGAGAGCAAUUUUGGUUACAGACGAGCAUGCGCUCCAUUAGCCAGUUGGCGGGGUAACGGCCCACCAAGGCGACGAUCGGUAGCCGGACUGAGAGGUUGAACGGCCACAUUGGGACUGAGACACGGCCCAG
rnacentral:rRNA from 1 species